rnacentral:rRNA from 1 species
UACGUAGGCAGCAAGCGUUGUUCGGAGUUACUGGGCGUAAAGAGUGCGUAGGUGGUGCCCUAAGUCUGUUGUGAAAUCUCCCGGCUUAACUGGGAGGGUGCGGUGGAAACUGGGGUGCUUGAGUGUGGGAGAGGUAAGCGGAAUUCCUGGUGUAGCGGUGAAAUGCGUAGAUAUCAGGAGGAACACCGGUGGCGAAGGCGGUUCUCUGGGCAUUACCUGACGCUGAGGCGCGAAAGCAUGGGGAGCGAACGGG